CUGGGUUAAUAAUUAUCAAAGCUUAACAUAAAUAAUGUAUCUCACUUACAUUGAGAAAAUGAUUAAUAUAUUUAGUCAGUUUUGAUAAAAUAAAAAUAAAAUAACUUCUGUAUUUUGUAGUUGAAAAAAUUUUUUUUUAUUUAGGUAUUAGUAGUAUAGAUAAAUUUUUGUUUAGGUGUACUGUAAAGGAUUAGUUUAUUUGGUUGUUAGUAAAAAUAAAAAUUUGUACCUUUUGUAUAAUGGGUUAAUGAUAUUUAAAAUUUUUUAUAGAAUUAUCUCGAAUUAGGAGGAUUUAUUUGGUAAUAUAUGUUAACGUGGUAAAGUUAUAUGUUUAUUAUUGAAUGGUAAUGAAAUGUUUAUCGUUUCCUAGAAUAGCUAGUUUAUUAGGUGAAAGAUAUUUAAGUAUCAUAGUGUUUAUAUAAUAAAGUUAUAUUUGAAUACUAGUUUAUUAUAUGGGGGAUAAGCUUCAUAUAGGUUUAUAGAAUGUUAUGUAUAAGUAAAUAUAAUUUAAGUAGGGUUAAAAAUUUAGUUUUUCUUAAUGAUUUAAUUUAUUAUCUGUUUAAAAUAUUUCAAGUGGUAUGUAAUUAAUAAAUGAUUGUUAAUAUUUUUAGUUAAAUAUAAUGUUAAUAUGAGUAUUGGUUUAUGGUUUAUCUAUUUAUUGUAAUUAUAAAUGUAAAUUGUUAUUUAGUUUUAUAAAAAAUUAAGUAAAGUGAAGGAAUUCGGCAAAUAUUAAUCUCGCCUGUUUAUCAAAAACAUCUCUCUUUGUUGAUUCAUAAAUAAAGAGUUGGGCCUGCUCGGUGAAAUGUUUAACAGCUGCGGUAUUUUAACUGUACUAAGGUAGCAUAAUAAUUUGCCUUAUAAUUUGAGGCUAGAAUGAAUGGUUUGACGAAGGUUAAUCUGUCUCCACUUUAUUUUUUAGAAAUUAAUUUUCAUAGUGAAAAAGCUUGAAUUUUUUAAGGGGACGAGAAGACCCUAUUGAGCUUAUAAUUUUAUUAAUAUUUUAUAAAUAUUUAUGUUGUGUUAUAUAAAUUUUAAUUGGGGUGAUUAAGGAAUAAUUUUAUUGAUUUUAUAGUGUAACUUCCUUAGAAAACAUAUUGUUAAAUUAAGUAACCGAUUUAUAUAUAGGUUUAUAUUGGGUAUUGCUUAUAAUAUAGUUACCAUAGGGAUAACAGCGUAAUUUACUUAGAGAGUUCUUAUUGAAAAGUAAGAUUGCGACCUCGAUGUUGGAUUAAAGUAACCUUAAGGUGCAGAAGCUUUAUAAGGUAAAUCUGUUCGAUUUUUAAAACUUUACAUGAUCUGAGUUCAGAC
rnacentral:rRNA from 1 species